rnacentral:rRNA from 1 species
CACUUAUAUUUAAAACCCACUCUUUGAACGUAUAAAAUUUUAUGUAUUAAUGAUAAAAAUAAAAGAUCACUUUCAACAACGGAUCUCUUGGCUCUCGCAUCGAUGAAGAACGUAGCGAAGUGCGAUAAGUAAUGUGAAUUGCAGUAUUCCGUGAAUCAUCGAAUCUUUGAACGCAUAUUGCACUUUCUGGUAUUCCGGAAAGUAUGCCUGUUUGAGGGUCAGUUAAAUAAAAAUCGGUGUUGUUGCUGCCUUUCGUGGUGACGCGUCGGAAUUGAGUUGUCUUACCUUCGGUUAAGUGACUUAAAAUUUUGUAUGAUUUUUGAACGUAUUUAAAUUUAUUUGUACGUUUGAGAUAUCGAAUAUUUAUUAGGUUCGGUCAUUCUAACGACUCGUGCCUAUAAUUUUUCAUUAAAUGACCUCAAAUCAGGUAAGAAUACCCGCUGAACUUAAGCAUAUCAAUAAGCGGAGGAAAAGAAAAUAACAAUGAUUCCCUUAGUAACGGCGAGUGAAGGGGGAAAAGCUCAAAUUUUAAAUCUGCUAGGUUUUACUUAUCAGAAUUGUAAUUUGAAGAAGCGUUUUCCGCGUCUCGGUUGGCCCAAAUCCUUUGGGAUAAGGUAUCAUGGAGGGUGAGAAUCCCGUUCGGUUGACCUUAUGACGCUCUACGAUACGCUCUCUAAGAGUCGAGUUGUUUGGGAUGGCAGCUCAAAUGGGAGGUAAA